UACGGAAGGCAGCAGUGGGGAAUAUUGCACAAUGGGCGAAAGCCUGAUGCAGCUAUGCCGCGUGUAUGAAGAAGGCCUUAGGGUUGUAAAGUACUUUCAUCGGGGAGGAAAAACAAAACUAAUAAUUUUAUUUCUUGACGUUACCCGAAAAAGAAGCACCGGCUAACUCCGUGCCAGCAGCCGCGGUAAUACGGAGGGUGCUAGCGUUAAUCAGAAUUACUGGGCGUAAAGAGCACGUAGGUGGUUUUUUUAAGUCAGAUGUGAAAUCCCUGGGCUUAACCUGGAACUGCAUUUUGAAACUGAAAUACUAGAGUAUCGUAGAGGGAGGUAGAAUUCUAGGUGUAGCGGUGAAAUGCGUAGAUAUCUGGAGGAAUACCUGUGGCGAAAGCGGCCUCCUAAACGAAUACUGACACUGAGGUGCGAAAGCGUGGGGAGC
rnacentral:rRNA from 1 species